rnacentral:lncRNA from 1 species
CCGAUCUGGUUUUGUGAAGGAAGGGGCCGGCCAUGGAGAAGAUCCCGCAGGCAUCAGAUCAUCCAUGGCGGCCUAGGAGGAGCCCCACCAGUUCAGUUUCGUCACUUGCUCCACCGGUUCAGGUGAGGUCCUCCACUUCUCCUCAUUUGGAUAAUCCCAAAUCUCCGCUCCCUUACUCACCUCAUCCAUUCUCCCUCCCAGAUCCGUCGUCACUCGAGCACGGGGAUGUCGGGUUGACUACUAUCGACGCCAACGGCGGCCGCCUGCCUCGUCAUCGACGACCACACCAACUGGCGUUGCCUCUCCCAUUCCAUGCCUGUUUAGUAGCUCUGUGUGGUCAUGUUUACAGUUGCAUGCAUAUGUUAACUAGGAUUAGAUAAAUGUUAAGAGACAAUGUCAUUUGGUACUCAAGGUUGCCUAAAAUUAAUCUGCCAUUGUUAACUGAAUGAACAGAAACAAUACUACAUGAGUUCCACUGGUUAGCUAGCUGUUACACAACUCUGCUCUAUGUCAUGAAUUUGGAUGAAGAAAAUUUGGUUGCUGGCCUAAAAAUUAACUGGUCUGUAAUUUGGUUGCUGCCUAAAGACGUCAAGAUUGCUGUGUGGUGGGGGGUUUCGUGUGCUUUUUCUGUUUUGAGGCGAAUGGUGGUGUAGUUAAAAUGUUGGGAUUCUUAAGGCAGGCCUCCAGUUCUGCGUACAUUUGUGCUUGAGUUGGAACCAACGCUUGCUCAUAAUAUAAACACAACUGUGUGCACAGUUUAGCUAAUUAUACUAGGGGUGAUCAAGAGUGCACUGCAGUGGAAUCGAUUAUUGGCUGUGAUACUUUUUUUUAUUAAUCUGCAAACACGUGUACAGUGCAUUGUUGCUAGUUUGCUUAGAUAUGUUCUGUUCUCAUCUUGGAUGAGUAGUGUUUUCUAGCCCAAUAUAUGUACCAGUUUAUGUCAAAUUGCAGACAAGUCCACCCUGGAUCUGCAUCUGCCAAGGUUAUUAAUAACAUAACUUGAUGGAAUUUUACUCUUUUAAUCACAAUAACAUAGCAGUAACAUGUUAUCACUUUGGAUGAAGAAAAUCAUUUGUAAUAAGUUCUUCCAUGUUUAAUUGCCUCCAUUGUGAAGCGGUGUUUGGUGUUGUAUCAUUUCCUGCUACAUGGUUCAAUCAACUACAGUAGUCAUUUCAUGCCUGGGACUUGCAUAUGUUCUUCUGCACUUGAAACAUCAACAUGUAUUUUUCCUUGUUUUCUGGAAUAAUUGGUAAACUUCAUAUUAUGCAAACCUGUUGCAUUUCGCACAAUCAAAGCUUGUUACUACAUCAGUUGCUUUCUCCAAGUGUCUUGGUCUUGGAUUUUAUCUCGAUAUGCACAACACUCCUAUAUUUCUGGACCAUAUGCUAUCUAGCUGUUGGGUGCUAAUUCUAGUUACUUUAUAUGAAGCAACAGUUAUCUUGCAGCCAUCUAAUAUGCAAUUCUAAUAAUAUUUCAUAUCCUGAUUUUUAAGUUGUAUAUGUCAUUCAUGCAUGAAUUCCUUUCUUAUGUACCAGCUCCCUAAUCAUGUUUUUUGUUUUUCGGGUUGCUAUCUUAGGAUAGAAUCCCUUCUCGUCUCUUGUUGUGAUUCCUGCCUUUGGUUUGAUUUUUUUUUUGUGCAGGUUGCUCAGAUCUGAUCUGGACGAGUUGUUGCUGCUCCCGCAGGUGGAUGACGAGGCCUCAUGGCUGCUCCCUACUCCUCCAACCACAUGACUUGGUGUGGUCAGCUCAUGUCAUGUCAUCUCAUCUCAUCUCACGUGCACAACAAACUUUGGAUUGUUCUAGACAUGUCUUGGUUCAGUAUUUGAAAAUUUGAUUGCUAUGGUGUUGGUUGAGGCUGGCUUGAGCAGAGGAAAAUCUAUUCCUUUUUUUGAUGAUCAUGGUGGUACUGCUGUCAUGUUGCUUCUUGUAGUUAGUAUACACAUGAACCUGAUAAAAUGGUCCUUGAUAUGAUGGAAUUAGUAGCAGUUGUGUGGGUUUACACUGUUGUGCCUAAACUACUAUGGUCGCCAAGCCAGCAUCCAUUGCAUCAAUCCUCAUGAAUUAGUGGACAAUGUACACAUAAACUCUAUGGAACAAUAAUGAUAGUGAUCCAGCACAAUAGUUUACUUAAUUCCUUUGCACUACCUUGCCGUUUGAUAGCUCUUUUAUGGUUUGGAUGUAUAUACGUGAUGGUG